UACGUAGGGAGCAAGCGUUGUCCGGAAUUACUGGGCGUAAAGGGUGCGUAGGCGGUAGGCCAAGUCAGAUGUGAAAUUCCCGGGCUUAACUCGGGGGGUGCAUUUGAAACUGGUUUACUUGAGUGCAGGAGAGGAAAGUGGAAUUCCUAGUGUAGCGGUGGAAUGCGUAGAUAUUAGGAGGAACACCAGUGGCGAAGGCGACUUUCUGGACUGUAACUGACGCUGAGGCACGAAAGCGUGGGGAGCAAACAGG
rnacentral:rRNA from 1 species